AGUGAACGCUGGCGGUAGGCCUAACACAUGCAAGUCGAACGGCAGCACAGUAAGAGCUUGCUCUUACGGGUGGCGAGUGGCGGACGGGUGAGGAAUACAUCGGAAUCUACUUUUUCGUGGGGGAUAACGUAGGGAAACUUACGCUAAUACCGCAUACGACCUACGGGUGAAAGCAGGGGAUCUUCGGACCUUGCGCGAUUGAAUGAGCCGAUGUCGGAUUAGCUAGUUGGCGGGGUAAAGGCCCACCAAGGCGACGAUCCGUAGCUGGUCUGAGAGGAUGAUCAGCCACACUGGAACUGAGACACGGUCCAGACUCCUACGGGAGGCAGCAGUGGGGAAUAUUGGACAAUGGGCGCAAGCCUGAUCCAGCCAUACCGCGUGGGUGAAGAAGGCCUUCGUGUUGUAAAGCCCUUUUGUUGGGAAAGAAAAGCAGCAGGUUAAUACCCCGCUGUUCUGACGGUACCAAAAGAAUAAGCACCGGCUAACUUCGU
rnacentral:rRNA from 1 species